rnacentral:tRNA from 1 species
GGGGCUGUGGUUUAGUGGUAGAAUGCUCGCGUCGCACGCGGGAGGCCUGGGUUCGAUUCCCAGCCGACGCA